CUUGGCUAAUGUGUCUUGGCUAAGGUGCCUCGGCUAAUGUGUCUUGGCUAAGGUGUCUUGGCUAAGGUGUCUUGGCUAAGGUGUCUUGGCUAAGGUGUCUUGGCUAAGGUGUCUUGGCUAAGGUGUCUUGGCUAAGGUGUCUUGGCUAAUGUGUCUUGGCUAAUGUGUCUUGGCUAAGGUGUCUUGGCUAAGGUGUCUUGGCUAAGGUGUCUUGGCUAAUGUGUCUUGGCUAAGGUGUCUUGGCUAAGGUGUCUUGGCUAAGGUGUCUUGGCUAAGGUGUCUUGGCUAAGGUGUCUUGGCUAAGUUGUCUUGGCUAAGGUGUCUCGGCUAAUGUGUCUUGGCUAAGGUGUCUUGGCUAAGGUGUCUUGGCUAAUGUGUCUUGGCUAAUGUGUCUUGGCUUAGGUGUCUUGGCUAAGGUGUCUUGGCUAAUGUGUCUUGGCUAAAGUGUCUUGGCUAAUGUGUCUCGGCUAAAGUGUCUUGGCUAAGGUGUCUUGGCUAAUGUGUCUUGGCUAAUGUGUCUCGGCUAAUGUGUCUUGGCUAAGGUGUCUUGGCUAAUGUGUCUUGGUUAAUGUGUCUUGGCUAA